UAAUCGUGGAUAGGUCUUUAAAAAUAAUUCAAUCUAAUUAUAAUAUGCUUUUGAAAACAUGUAUUGAGUAAUAUUUUGAUUAAAUAUUAUGUUAUCAGAAUAAGAAAAAAAAGAUAAAAGCCACACUUAGCAACCACUGGCCUUAUUCUGAUAAAGUUGUAGCAAUAUCGGGAUCUGGUGAAUAAGUACAAAUAAUCCAAUAUGGCGCCAAAAUUCAGACUUCAUUAUUUCGAUUUCACCGGCAGAGGAG